rnacentral:rRNA from 1 species
GUAGUCCACGCCGUAAACGAUGAGUGCUAAGUGUUGGAGGGUUUCCGCCCUUCAGUGCUGCAGCUAACGCAUUAAGCACUCCGCCNGGGGAGNACGACCGCAAGGUUGAAACUCAAAGGAAUUGACGGGGGCCCGCACAAGCGGNGGAGCAUGUGGUUUAAUUCGAAGCAACGCGAANAACCUUACCAGGUCUUGACAUCCUUUGACCACUCUAGAGAUAGAGCUUCCCCUUCGGGGGCAAAGUGACAGGNGGUGCAUGGUUGUCGUCAGCUCGUGUCGUGAGAUGUUGGGUUAAGUCCCGCAACGAGCGCAACCCUUAUUGUUAGUUGCCAUCAUUUAGUUGGGCACUCUAGCAAGACUGCCGGUGACAAACCGGAGGAAGGNGGGGAUGACGUCAAAUCAUCAUGCCCCUUAUGACCUGGGCUACACACGUGCUACAAUGGGAAGUACAACGAGUCGCAAAGUCGCGAGGCUAAGCUAAUCUCUUAAAGCUUCUCUCAGUUCGGAUUGUAGGCUGCAACUCGCCUACAUGAAGCCGGAAUCGCUAGUAAUCGCGGAUCAGCACGCCGCGGUGAAUACGUUCCCGGGCCUUGUACACACCGCCCGUCACACCACGAGAGUUUGUAACACCCGAAGUCGGUGAGGUAACCUUUUGGAGCCAGCCGCCUAAGGUGGGAUAGAUG